rnacentral:rRNA from 1 species
CUUGGAGGGCAAGUCUGGUGCCAGCAGCCGCGGUAAUUCCAGCUCCAAUAGCGUAUAUUAAAGUUGUUGCAGUUAAAAAGCUCGUAGUUGAAUUUCGGGGUCAGCAGGUUGGUCGUGCCUCUGGUACGCACUGGUUUCGCUGAUUCCUCCUUUCUGAAGAACUGUAAUGUCAUUAAUUUGGUGUUGCAGGGAAACAGGACUGUUACUUUGAAAAAAUUAGAGUGUUUAAAGCAAGCUAACGCUUGAAUACAUUAGCAUGGAAUAAUGAAAUAGGACGUUUGAUCCUAUUUUGUUGGUUUCUAGGAUUGACGUAAUGAUUAAUAGGGAUAGUUGGGGGCAUUAGUAUUCAAUUGUCAGAGGUGAAAUUCUUGGAUUUAUUGAAGACUAACUACUGCGAAAGCAUUUGCCAAGGAUGUUUUCAUUAAUCAAGAACGAAAGUUAGGGGAUCGAAGACGAUCAGAUACCGUCGUAGUCUUAACCAUAAACUAUGCCGACUAGGGAUCGGAUGAUGUUAAUUUUUUAAUGACUCAUUCGGCGCCUUACGGGAAA